rnacentral:snoRNA from 1 species
UGCCUCCGGAUCCCUUAUCCCUCAAACCUAAAUAGUGGUUUGAGUGGCUUUAAAAAAGAGGAGGAAAAGUAAAAUUUUAAAUGGACUCGGAGUCUUUAGUGAAAAACAA